rnacentral:rRNA from 1 species
UACGUAGGGGGCGAGCGUUGUCCGGAGUUACUGGGCGUAAAGCGCACGCAGGCGGUCUGCUAAGUUUGGAGUGACAGUUGGUGGCUUAACUGCCAAGGUGCUUCGAAAACUGACAGACUUGGGGGCUUCAGAGGGACACGGAAUUCCGGGUGGAGUGGUGAAAUGCGUAGAGAUCCGGAGGAACACCAAAGGCGAAGGCAGUGUCCUGGGGAGUACCUGACGCUCAGGUGCGAAAGCCAGGGGAGCGAACGGG